AUUCCUUGACUUCCGGUCACUUAGACGAGGCUGCGUGUCGGGCGGAUUGGAUUUGUUCACGAUUCCAGAUAACACUUAUUUGGGAAAGAAGAAGAUCUGCACUUGAUGUUUGGACAUUGUUGCUUACAAGGGGGCAUUCAGAAAAAACUGGAAUUAUCUUUUGGAGGGUGAGUCCCUGGUAGCACAAGCCUCCCCCACUAGGUAAGUGUUCUAGGAGCCCAUCGGUGACUGCUAGUGUUGCGAGAGGCUUCUUUCGGCUUCCAUGGAGAUUCUUUCAAAGUGUUUACCCAUUUCAUGAUGGGUGAUUUACAUGAACAACAUGCCUCAGUGAAAUUUUGUUUUCUGUUAGUGAAAAAUGUGGUGGAAAUGGUUGCUAUGAUACAGACAGCUUACAAAGACGCUGCUCUGGGUAAAAUGCAAAUUUACAGAUGGUUUUCCUGUUUUAAAUGAGGUGAAAUGUUGAUUGAUAAUCAGCCUCAUUCUGGGUGUCCUUUGACCAGCUGAGCUGAAGAAAAUGUGUUAAGAAUUUGUCAAACCAUCUUAGAAGACUGCUGUCGGACUAUUGAUGAACUUGUGGAGCUGACUGGGGUGUCAUGGAGUUCCUAUUCAGAGAAUUUUAUCUGAAAAUGUGGAUGUAAUGCAAGCUUCAGCAAAAUUCAUGCCUCACUUACACCUGAACAGAGACAAUUUCUUGGCUGCAUGCGAUGCUUUGAAAGAACGAUUGGAGGCUGACCCUGAUUUUUUUUUCCAAAGUUAUAACCGGAGUCCAAUAUUUGUACUAUGGUUGUGACCCUGAAAUGAAACAACUGUCUAGCCAAUGGAAAACUGCCACUUCCCCACAAUCCCAAAAAGCACAAUAAGUAAAGUCAAAUGUGAAAACAAU